UUAAACGUGCAAUGUCCACGUUCUCCUCUGACCCUGUACUGACCAUAAAGUUGGUCAAGACAAUGUUUUAAUACUUAACAUAAAGCUCAUUUAUAAAGCAUAAUACAAUGGUUCUGGUGAAGAACAUUAAAAAUUAUGUGGAGAAAAAAUAAUGUUCUCAUAUUAUGAAAUAUUACAAUUUAAAAUAAUGUUGGUUUUUUUAAUAUACUUUAAAAUAUAAUUUAUUUCUGUGGUCGAAGCUGAAUUUUCUCCAGUCAUUACUCCAGUCUUCAGUGUCACAUGAUCCUUCAGCAAUCAUUCUAAUAUACUGAUUUGAUGCUCUUAAUAUCAGUGUUAGAAAUGGUUGUGCUGCUUAAUAUUUUCUUGGAAUCUCUGAUCAUUUUUUCUGGAUUCAUGAAGGAAUGAAAAAGAUUUGGAAUGACAUGAGGGUGAAUAAAUUAUGACAAUUUUCAUUUAUGGCUGAAGUAUCCCUUUAAAGGAACACAAUCCCUAUAAAAACAUUAAUUAUGAUAAUUUUUUGAUGUAAUCCAUGAGCUCUCAGACCUUCCAUAGACAGCAAGAGUUCUCCUGCGGCGAAGGCACAGAAAUGUAGUAAGGACAUUGUUAAAAUGGUCAAUGGACCAUUAAUAUGUUAUGUGUAACAACAACAUUUAAACUUACCUUAUCAAUUUGUGAUUGGUGUCUAUGUGCAUCAUAGAUUUAGGUCCUGGGACUGAAUCCCUCCUCCGGACAACACAACCCAGCUCUGUCAUCCUGGAUAAAACUCCUAGUGUGUCUCCUCCAUGCAGCGAUGCCCUCACUCGCUCAUAUUGUACCUUGUGGCCUUCAGCUUUUAAAGCUCCCUUUACCAUCCUGUAUCCAGAAUCUGUCAUUCGGGACUUAAUGUUUGACACUAAUAUGUCUAGCUCAUUGUCUGUUAGUGAGCUGUACAGUGAUCUCGAACUCUGCCAGUCGUCUGUGUACACUAUUUCCUUGUUCAAAUGGUGCUGUCACAACAUGUGUCUCGUUUCUUUGCCUCUCUAAAGUAAUAGCAUGAUGCAGACCAGUUAAGCCUUCCCAUAUGUCCACAGGAAUGAUGACCUGGAGGAUACAGCACUCAGGAAAACCAACUCCUGAACACAGAUCAGUUCUAAGAAGUCCACAUCCACAGGCAUCCGUGAAAGAGCGUGCUCCAAACGUGACUGAAGUCUCCCCCAUAUAUGCUCUAGAAGUAUCUGUACCUGUACAAAUAAAGACAGCAGUUAGCUCGGGAAAAGGAGCGUA
ensembl:lncRNA